rnacentral:lncRNA from 1 species
CAAUUCCAGUAGCUCUGCCCCUCCCCUUGUCCUCCAGAGCAGUUGAUGCUCGUGACUCCAGCCAUUGCUAGCCCCUGGAGCUGCAGUAGCCCUGGUUGGUUCCAUUGCCUCUGCCUAAAGUACUUCAUCUAAAUCGGACUUCAGCUCUGAAGAUGCCGUCUGUUUCUUGCCAGGACGCUAAUACUGUAGAUAUAAGUUUUUCAGGUAGGCCCUGCUUUCUCGGCCCUGCUCUGGAGUAACUGGGACGAUCUUCAGUGAUCAACAGCCCAGAGAAUCCACUACAGCAGCACAGAGCAUGAGGUCCCCUCAGCCCCACAGCCAGCCCAGGUGUCUGGGGGAGGAUGCUGGGUUGCUCAUGUAUGGAGAGGAUCUAAACUCUGGACAGCUCCCUCAAGGU